AGAUUGAUCCUGGCUAGGGAUGAACGCUGGCGGCGUGCUUAACACAUGCAAGUCGAACGAAGCAACUUAUUACGAUCCCUUCGGGGUGACGAUUUGUUGACUGAGUGGCGGACGGGUGAGUAACGCGUGGGUAACCUACCUUGUACAGGGGGAUAACAGUUGGAAACGACUGCUAAUACCGCAUAAGCGCACAGCUUCGCAUGAAGCAGUGUGAAAAGUUUUUUCGGUAUAAGAUGGACCCGCGUCUGAUUAGCUAGUUGGUGAGGUAACGGCCCACCAAGGCGACGAUCAGUAGCCGACCUGAGAGGGUGACCGGCCACAUUGGGACUGAGACACGGCCCAAACUCCUACGGGAGGCAGCAGUGGGGAAUAUUGCACAAUGGGCGAAAGCCUGAUGCAGCGACGCCGCGUGAGCGAAGAAGUAUUUCGGUAUGUAAAGCUCUAUCAGCAGGGAAGAUAAUGACGGUACCUGACUAACAAGCACCGGCUAAAUACGUGCCAGCAGCCGCGGUAAUACGUAUGGAGCAAGCGUUAUCCGGAUUUACUGGGUG
rnacentral:rRNA from 1 species